AUGCCUAAAGAUGCAGAAGGCUGAUGUUGCUCAAGUCAAAUUUACAGAUUUCUGCUAUGGCAGGAGCCUCUUGUGCCACUUGCUACCUAUUCCUUGGCCUUGGCUGCUGUCUCCUCUGGCUAAAAUGCCUGAAAUUCUGCCCAGCUCACCUAUCUACUGAAACUGACAUCAUUAACCAUUGCUGGGAGCCGGGUCAUUGUGUGAAUUGUUUUGAGCACAUUAUCUUGAAUAAUCAGCAUGACAACGCUGUGAGAGAUUCCAACACAAAAUCACAUGUAUUUAAAGGAUGAAGAAACUGAGGCUCAGAGAGGGCUGUGAAUUCCUGCAUUUAUCUACCUUCGUUUUCCUGUGUAGACACAAGGCUGCCUGGCUUCAGAGAGUAUCUUUACAGGUGAUAUCAUAUCAAGCCACCAGGACUUUGAGCUUGGGAGGCUACAAGGUUGUGAUCUCCAAGGGGAAAUGAAGAUGUGUCUUGGGGGGAAUCAAUCUGAUUUUACAUGAUGAACUAGCCACUAGCAUCACUAUGAAAACAGUGAGGAAAACCAGGCAGGUAGAGAGAAGGCAAGAGCUGUGUAUGUGCCCAUUGUGGGGACACCCAUGGAGUGAAAAGCAAGAAACGUGACUCCACCCUGCAAGGGGCCCAGGGUAUUGGGCAACUGUAGGCCAACCCAUUCGGCUCUUCCUCAUUUGGCCAGGACACUGGCUGAGCAUGAAGCCUUCUUUCAGGACUCUUCAUGUGAACAAAUUGUACACAGUCCUUGAUUUCAUCACUGCCUUUGAGGGCUCAGAAUCUUAUGUAUGGGAAUUCCUGGCCCUUCUGCUGGCUUCCACCAUCUUGAAACAGCCCGUUGCUUAUUGAGCCAGGCAUAGAAACUCCAUCCACCAACUGCCAUGGCAGAGUAGGUGACUGAGGUACAGAGUGUCUACAUGACUUGGUUGACCUGGAAGAACGAAUGGAUCCGUUUCAUCUUCUAUGCUGCUUGUGAGCUCAAUCUGGCAGAUCCUGCCCCAUUUGGAACCUGGUUGUGAGCAAGAAAACAUCUGUGGUCGGAAAGUGGGGGCAGUGAUUCAGGCCUGUUUGGGACUCGGAGAGGAUGUCCUUGAACCCUCUACUCAGGAAACAGCUCCCUCCCACAAGGAUGUGAGAGGUCAUCUGUCUGUCUACUUUGACACUUUCACCCAGUGACCUUCAGGGCUUCAGACACCUUCCCGAAUAAUCCCAGUUCAAUAGCCACUUCUGGGCUCUGCUCUGUGCCAGGAGCAGCAUGUGGAUGGGAGAUUCCAGAUGAACAAGUCAUGGCUUUGGCUCCCAAGCUGCUUGCAAAAUCAUUUUAAUGGGGACAUCAUGAAGGAACGAUGGAGCUGACCCAGCCUUGGGCUUGAAGAGGAGAAGGCCAAGGACAGACAUCACAAUCUGUAGCUCUCCACAUUAUACAGAUGGGAAGGGCACCGAACUUGCUCAGAAAGAACGGAAUACUGCAGAAGCGAGGCUGAGUGACUUCUGAGGCCAGGUCAUGAACAGUCCGGGCUGGAGAGGGAGAUGGGCUUCUGUCUUUGGAGCUGGGACAUUUGCUUUUGGAGUCCUUAGCCGACGUUGAAGAGACGUGCGGCUACCAUGCUGUGGGGAAGCCCAGGCCACAGGGACAGGACACGUGCAGGCUCUCUGGCUGAUAACACCAGCUGAGGUCCUUGCCGACAGCCAGACAUGUGAGUGAAGAUGCUUCCAGAUGAUUCCGGUUCCUCGCCGCUGAGUCACUCCCAGCCUUUGAAUUUUCCCAUUUCAGUCUUCAGACAUUGGGGAACAGAGUCAAGCCUGUCCUUUCUCCAAAUCCCCAACCCACAAAAUCUGUGAGUAUACUAACACGGUUAUUUUAAGCCACUAAGUGUUGGAGUGAUUUGUUCUGCAGCAACAAUAAGCAGAGCCCCGCCCUCAGACCUUCUGCUAGGACUUGUCUUUUUAAGACUCCGAGCAAUAGACAAUUCUUUCUCCAGAGGUCUUAGAGGAAGAAAGCAUGCUUAUAACACAGUUAAGAUUUGUUUCUUCAUGAGUCUAGAGAAUUCCCCAUGAUCAAAGAUGUUACAGCUGGAAAUGUUUCUAGAGCUAUCAUGCUUGCUGGCAUCUGGCUGUGGCAGCUCCCAAGGGAAUCACCCCCAGCACCCCCAGCAGAGAGGGCCUGAAGAGGACCUUCCUCCUCGCAGCUCUUCUGAGCGGGCACAGAUUGCAAUGGCCCGGACAGAUGGAGGCGCCAACCUAACACUGAAGCAAUGGUAGAGUCACCCAGGGGGAUGGAAUUCUUGAAGGAAGAGAAGAACUCUCCAUUUGGAUGGCAAGAUGGUUCCCACAUUUUCUCGAUCAACUGUUACUCAUAUUACUGUCUACUGUUUGCCCAGAACUCUAUUGCUGAUGGCUAUUCUUUUGUUCAGUCCUCAUGAUCAGGGUGGGAAGUAGUUUGACAGCCUCAUCACAGAAUUCUAGAAACUGAGGCUAGAAGACCAACCAACCCAGGAGCACAUGUAUCCAGUCAAUGUUGAGGACUAAAACCUAUGCCUUCUGAUUCCACAUCGAGGCUUCUUGUUAUUGUGCUCUGAAGAGAAUCCCUGUUUUGGAGGGGAAAAAAAAAAAGUGAUGUCUGUUCCAAGAUCAUCAAGAGAGUGCUUGUGAAAGCCUUUGCAGACAUUGUGGUCAUGAUCUGACUGCUGAGCACUUUAGAAUCUAUCAUCAAGAGCCACAACAGACCUACAAGAAUCCAUACCUACACCUGAAACUCAUAGCUCUCCAGUUGCACAACCUCCAACUCUUAAUCCACAAGCCCAAGCUCAUCUCCUGCCUGAGAGCUCACAGCAUCAUCCGUCCAUCCAUCCAUCCGUCCAUCCAUCCAUCCAUCCAUCCAUCCCUCGCAUGUUACACACAGUUCCUGGCACAUUGUUGGUAAAUAUUCAAUUGUAUGUCAGUUACAACUCAGUUAAAAAAAAAGCUAAGAUCAAAUCAUAUAGAAUGAGGGUGAUCCCUAACACAGUGACUGAUAUGUUAAUAAGAAAAAGGAGAGGGAGACUAAACACAGAGACACAGAGAAAUGGAGACAUACAGAAAGGGGAGAAGACAAAGCCACUGAUGUCAGAGGCACAGAUUGGAGUGACCCAGCUUCAGGCGAAAGAAUGCCCAGCAUUGCCUACAGCUACCAACCCAGGGAGAGGCAGGAAGAGUUCUUCCCUAGAGCUUUCAGAGGGGGCCUGGCUCAAUAAAACCAAAAGAAAUAAUCCAUGCAAACUGAAUGCUGAGUGAAGUUAUGAAUGGCUAAAACAUAGAAAAUGAUCAAAGUCAGGUGCAGUGAGGGGCUCUUAGAUUGGCAUGUGAGCUGGGGUUGUUGAGCCUCUGGGUUCCAGUAGCUCCCUGCUCCUGGCAUAGAAGCCAGAAAGGCAGCCCCAUAGAAAGGAGCACAAGCAGAAAAUGAUGCAUAUGCUAAGUCAUAAGGGCUGUUUAGAAAAUAAACCAGUACUUGAUUUGAUUAAAAUAUGAGGCAGGAGGGCACACUAGUGUUUGCAUCUGAUCUUAUCAGUGAAGGGUAACUAUAUGGAUUAUGGUGCAAGAACUUUAUUUCCAUCAGAGCUAAAGAAUCUCUUAGAAGCCUUGUAAAUCUUAUCUAGAACAUUUUGAAUUGCCUCUCAUAUUUAUUUAGAUCGUGCAGGAACAAUUCUGUAUUUCUCCUGAAUACUUCUAGGCUUUCCAAAGCUAGGUGUGCCUCCCACUUUGUUUCUGCCUCUGCUGAUUCUAGGCUACAUUGUGAUUGCCCCACACUGUGGCCUCCAAAGUCCCCAGAGCUAAGGGUUAUAGAAACCAGUCACAGUAGUCAUAAAUCUUAGGUCAAUCCCAUGCUCAUUUUAUUUAAACAUUGCUGAGACCAGAGCUCUGGGAGGAUCUAACAGAGCCCCACAGAACUCAAUGGCUCUCGACCCCUCAUGGAGUCAGAGAGCAACUUUGAAAAUCUUCUUUGAGGUCAUUACUUAAGUCCGUCCUCUGAUCUCUCCAAGGAAAUUCCAGCAAGAAGUGUCUCUGAUUGGAUGCAAAAUGGUAACCUCCAAAUGGUUACCAGGAAAAUGAAUCUUUAUAGCCCUACUUUCUACCUAUCUCAUAUUGAUCGGAGAAUGGAGAGAAUUGCAGGAAUAAGGCUCACAAACACUUGGAAUUUUUUGGAGACUGGCAAGUCAGAUUUGAAAGUUGAUGGGCUUAGACACUGUUGAACUGUGUUCCCAAAAAAACGUGUGUUGAAGUCCUUACUUCCAGUACCUUACAGAAUGUGACCUUAUUUGGAAAUAGGUUCAUUGUGGAUGCAGUUAGUCAAGUUAAGAUGAAGUCCUACUGGAUUAGAGUGGACCCUUCAUCUAGUAUGACUGAUGUCCUUACAAGAAGAUAAUAUGAAGAUGCAAAGAGAGAAUGCCAUGUGAUGACAGAGGCAGGGAUCGGAGCAAGGAAGAUGUAAGCCAAGGAUCCCCAAGGAUUUCAGGCUGCCACCGGAAGCUGGGAAGAAGCAAGGAAGGAUUCUUCCCAGAGUCCAGAGGGUCCUGGUCCUGCUGACACCCAGAUUUUAGCUUUCUAGCCUCCAGUACUGUCAGAGAAUAAAUUUCCAUUGGUAAAGCCACCCAGUUUAUGGCACUCCAUCCAACUAGCCCUAGGUAGCUAGACAAUGUAUUGCUGAUGGAGACUCAGACUCUCCCCAUCCUCCCAUCCUAUCUUCCUGCCCUGAGAGCGAUGCUCUUGCCUGUGUGAGAGGUGGACUGCAUGUCCUGGGGAGGAAAGGCCGGUGGCCUUCUUGAAAGAGGCAUUCUGAAGUAUCUGCUAGCAUGUCGCUAGGUGUCCUGUGGGUGCUUGAGAAUACCUUGUUUGAACCAGACUGAGUUAUGGUGAAGACUUCAUUAGAACAGGACUGAGGGGAAUUCAAAAUAGGGAAAAUAUUCAUCAUGUUCCUCCUUCAUAAAACUUUCCAUUUUCCACGGUCCCUGCCAGCACUCUGCCAUUUGCAGUCGUGGGUAUGUGCUCACAACCUCAGGCCACGUGCAUCCUUGUGAUUGGCCCUUUGUCUGCACCCCAGCAUUGCUGUUACAUCAUGUGAUAAUGCCGGCCUGAUCCUUCAUCCGGUCGUUAUACCACAAUCAUUUCACCAUUUCACUUUUGCUGGUCAUUAAUUUCAGUGAUUUUUUUCUUCUUUCUUAUUCAUUUAGAUACCAUUGCGAAGAACAUCUUUGUGCUUAUGAUUUUUUCCCAGUUUCAUGGAGAAACAAUUGACUGACAACACUGUAUAAGUUGAAAGUGUACAGCAGGAUAGCUUGGUUUGCAUAUGUCUUGCAGUGAUCACCACAAUAGGUUCAGCUGACCUCCGCCUUCUCCCACAGAUACAGUGAAAAGAAUUGUGUUUAUAAAUUUUGAUUCUUUUGAAUUAUCUCCAAAAAAUUUCUAGGAUAGAUCUACUGGCUCAAAGAGUAAAAUAAGCUUAAGGAUUUUCUUAUAUGUUAUUAUACCAUUUUCUAAAAAAAGUAAAAUCAAAAUGCAGUGCCAUCAGAAAAUAUGUGCCAAAUGGUGCUUCAUUACAUUUUCACUUUCUGAGGUUGAGGAUGCAUUUAUUUCCUCUGUAGGAUUGUCCUCGUGCAAAUUGAUAUUUACCCACUACUGUACUGGGUCUUAAUUGUACUGGGUAUCCUUGCAUAAUAGACAUUAAACCGCCUCGGCUAUAUUUUUAGAAAUGGCUUUCCUUUUACUAUAAUGGCAUUUGUGUUUUUAAAAUUCAUUUAUUAAUUAUUAUUUUCUAUUUGAAGUGUAGCCUACAUAUAAUAUUAUUUUAGUUUCAGGUGUACAACAUAGUGAUUCAACACUCCUAUACAUUAUGAAAUGCUCUCCAUGAUAACGCAGUCACCAUCUGUCGCAAAACAGAGUUAAUAUAAUAUUAUUGGCUAUAUUCCCUAUACUGUACUUUUCAUCCUUGUAACUUAUCUAGUUUAUAACUGGAAGUUUGUAUGUCUUUAUCCCAUUUGCCAAUUUUUCUGUCCCACACCCCCGUGUUUCUGGUAACUGCUAGUUAGUUCUCCAUAUUUUUGAGUCCAUUUCUCUCUUUUUUUGUAGUUAUUUUUCAGUUUUUUAGAUUCCACGUGUCAGUGAAAUCAUAUGAUAUUUGUCUUUCUCUGACUUAUUUCACUUAGCACAAUACCUUCUAGGUUCAUUCAUGUUGCCCCAAAUGGCAAGAGUUCAUUCUUUUUUAUGGCUGAGUAAUAUUCCACUAUGCAUGUAUACACAUCACAUCUGUUCAUCUAUCAAUGCGCACCAACAUUGCUUCCUUCCAUAAUUUGGCUAUUGUAAAUAAUUUUGCAAUAAACAGGGGGGUGUA